rnacentral:lncRNA from 1 species
AUGAUACACAGAUGCUGCUUGAGGCUCUUUUUUCUUAAAGGAGAAAGAAGAAGCAAAGAAAAGGAGGGCAGACAAGGCACAGAGGAGAAGCCUCUGAGAGGGACAAAGCAGAAGAGGGAGACUGGGGCUAUGGAACACAAUGUUUUCAAUGCAGCAUCUGGUCCCGUGGCAUCUGCAGACCUUAGCCAAUCUGAUGUGAGUGGGAAAGGCCAUGUGAGAGCAGCUGGGACCUAGAGGCAGUAUGGUUUAAGAAAUAUAAGAGCAGCAUUUGAAAGUGAUGGUGAGCAUCUUCCUAUACCUACUUGCUGAGUGCAAUAAUGGUUACCAUGAGUGGAGGAUGAGGUGAAGGGAAGAUAGGAAAAGGGUACAAACCUUCAGCUAUAGGUGAGUAAAUGCUAGAAACCUAAUGUACAGCAUUGUGACUAUAAUUAAGAAUUAUUAUAAUUAAUAAUUGAAAUGUGUUAAGAUAGUAGAUCCGAAGCAUUCUCACCACACCCAAAAAAGGUAACUAUGUGACAUGAUGAAUACUUUAAUUAGCUUGAUUGUGGUAAUCAUUUCACAAUGUCUACAGAUAUCAACACAUUUCACGAUAAACCCCAAAUAUGUGUGAUUUUUAUUCGUCAAUCAUACCUCAAUAAGGCAGGAAAAAAAUUAGACAUAAAAAAUAAAAUUAGGAGAAAAAUACUUUGUGCAAGAAUGUUUAUAGCUGCUUUAGCUAUAAGAGGCCCAAACUAGAAAAAAAAUCAAUAUAAUAAACAAAUGUAGAAUACGCAUAUAAUGCAAUUAUACUUACCUUUAAAAAGAAUUGUACUACUGACUUUAAAAGUCACAUUGAAAUGUUUGAAAAAACAUUCUGCCAAGCCAGAUACAUCAGUCCAACAGUAUAAUAUAUAUGGUAUCAUUCUAUUCACAUAAAGUUCAUGAAUGGCCAAGUAUUCUUUGGGGAUAGAAAUCAAAACAGUGGCCACCUAUGGAGGGAAGACUGGCUGGAAAGGAUGUGAGGAAACAUUCUGGGGUGAAAGAAAUGUCCCUUGCCCUGACUGAGGUGACCAUGACACGGUUGUAUGUACCUGUUAAACACAUUGCUUUUAGAAACUUGAAUUUAAGAACUCCAGAGUGGUUACAAUUUACCCCACAUUGAUUUUAUCUCAAAUAAUUAAAAAAAAAAAAGCCACGACAAUUGAGUAAUUAUAGCCUUUAACACCCCUUUUCUGUCACGGAUAAUCUGGCUAAUAAGCAUAUAGUUCUGAAUUAAUGUUAAAACCCUACUUCAUCUACUUUUCUUUGAAGAAAGUUAUUUUAAAAAUCAUUCUUUUAAAUACAAUUUUAUUAUCUUUUAGUAUUAGAACAUUUAAUCCAUAGUUCAUUUAUCAUUGCCAGCAUCCAAAGAAGUAAAAUGACAUUUAUUGUUUUGUUUAGUAAUACUUGAGAUUUUUCACUUAAGAACCAAUUAUUAUUAUUAUCAUUUGGAUUUAUUUUCUAUAGCAAGGAAAUAUUUACUGAAUACUGGUGAGAAGCCAAUGGAAGAGACCAAGAAUGUCUAAGAGAAGCAGUUGUUAUUAGUUGAAAGGUUUGAGAUUUAAGACCUAACAGACAACAGAGAAUGCACACAGAGAAUGCAACAGAGAAUGCAACCGAGAAUGCACCAGACAACAGAGAAUGCUCUCCGUGAGAGCCUCACCUUGUGACGUUUGUUCUUUACCUUUUUAGUUUGGUUUUUAGUGUGGCAUGCUGAGCACCUCUGAGUUUUCAGGGAAGGAGCUGAUGGAAACAGGAACAGAAUAGCUGGGACCUCCAAGAUUCACAUUCCUUGCAGGAGUUGGUGUGAGUUUUUGAGGCUGCUGAGUAACAGGAACCGCAGCCUUUGUGGCCUGGAUGUAUCCUGGCAACCUGUCAACAAAAGGGACGGGACUGAGUUCUCUAGUAACUGAUGGGAAACAGAGAGCAAAGUAGGUAUGGAUUUCAGCUUUCUUUUAAAUUGACUCCAGGAACUUUGCCGACGGACUGAGCAACCAACAGGGACAGAUAAAUUUAAGUCACAGGCUCUUCUUGCUGUAGAAACACAACAUUUUAUUUUAAGGAAGAAAAGAAAAUAAUGUUUACUGAUUAUCUUAUUGAUCUUUUCUAGGGACUUUAAAAAUACUGUGAUGGUUAAUAUUGACUGUCAACUUGAUUGGAUUGAAAGAUGCAAAGUAUUGUUCUGGGUGUGUCUGUGAGGGUGCUGCCAAAGGAGAAUAACAUCUGAGUCAGUGGACUGGGAAAGGCAGACCCACCCUCAAUCUGGGUGGGCACCAUCUAAUCAGCUGCCAGUGCGGCCAGAAUAAAGCAGGCAAAAGGUGGAAGGACUUGACUUGCUGAGUCUUCUGGUCUUCAGCUUUCUCCUGUGCUGGAUGCUUCCUGCCCUGGAACUUUGGACUCCAGGUCUUCAGCUUUUGGACUCUUGGACUUACACCAGGCGUUUGCCAGGGGCUCUCGGGACUUUGGCCACAGACUGAAGGUUGCACUGUUGGCUUCCCUACUUUUGAGGUUUCUCUACUUCUCAGCUUGCAGAUGAUCUAUUGUGGAACUUCAUCUUGUGAUUGUGUGAGUCAAUACAUCUUAAUAAACUCCCUGUCAUAUAUACAUCUAUUCUAU